rnacentral:rRNA from 1 species
GACGAACGCUGGCGGCGUGCUUAACACAUGCAAGUCGAACGGUGACCUGGGGUGCUUGCACCUUGGUGAUCAGUGGCGAACGGGUGAGUAACACGUGAGUAACCUGCCCCUGACUCUGGAAUAACCCCGGGAAACCGGGGCUAAUACCGGAUAUGAAACGAGCCUGCAUGGGUUUGUUUGGAAAGUUUUUCGGUUGGGGAUGGACUCGCGGCCUAUCAGCUUGUUGGUGAGGUAAUGGCUCACCAAGGCGACGACGGGUAGCCGGCCUGAGAGGGCGACCGGCCACACUGGGACUGAGACACGGCCCAGACUCCUACGGGAGGCAGCAGUGGGGAAUAUUGCACAAUGGGCGAAAGCCUGAUGCAGCGACGCCGCGUGAGGGAUGACGGCCUUCGGGUUGUAAACCUCUUUCAGCAGGGAAGAAGCGAAAGUGACGGUACCUGCAGAAGAAGCACCGGCUAACUACGUGCCAGCAGCCGCGGUAAUAC